CUCUUUAGCUUGGCAUUUGAAUCGGCUUUGCUGUUGCGAAGUAGAGUGGCGGCUUCGGCUGCCGAGGGUCGAUCCAUUUGGGAAAUGUUGUGUACUUCGGUAUGCAUCUCAAUUGGACCUGAUAUCAGGCAAGAUUACCCGCUGAACUUAAGCAUAUUAAUAAGCGGAGGAAAAGAAACUAACAAGGAUUCCCCUAGUAACGGCGAGUGAAGCGGGAAGAGCUCAAGCUUAAAAUCUCCGUGCAAGUUUUGCGCGGCGAAUUGUAGUCUAUAGAGGCGUGAUCAGUGUGGGCGCUUGGGGCAAGUUCCUUGGAAGAGGACAGCAUGGAGGGUGAUACUCCCGUUCAUCCCUGAGUUGCUCGUGCGUACGAUCCGUUUUCUUUGAGUCGCGUUGUUUGGGAAUGCAGCGCAAAGUAGGUGGUAAAUUCCAUCUAAAGCUAAAUAUUGGUGCGAGACCGAUAGCGAACAAGUACCGUGAGGGAAAGAUGAAAAG
rnacentral:rRNA from 1 species